UACGUAGGUGACAAGCGUUGUCCGGAAUUAUUGGGCGUAAAGGGAGCGCAGGCGGUUGGAAUAGUCUGAUGUGAAAGCCCACGGCUUAACCGUGGAAGGUCAUUGGAAACUGUCCAACUUGAAUACAGAAGAGGUAAGUGGAAUUCCAAGUGUAGCGGUGAAAUGCGUAGAUAUUUGGAGGAACACCAGUGGCGAAGGCGACUUACUGGUCUGUAAUUGACGCUGAGGCUCGAAAGCGUGGGUAGCAAACAGG
rnacentral:ncRNA from 2 species